GCGCAGGGGAGGGCGGCGGGCCGCACUAUUGUGAAAGGGGCCCGGGCCGCCGCCAGGGGGGCGGGAAGGGUUCUCCCCCCCCCCCCGCUUCCUCCCCCGGGGGGCCGGCGCAGGGCUGCGGGGCGCGGACCGAGGAGCGCGCGGAAGGAGCGGGCGAAGGACCCGGGACAGAAACGGAGGGACUUCUGCACCCCAGAGGCAGGAAAACCCACGAUGUCUACUGCCCAGGGAGUUGUUGCCACCACCUCUUCAGCAUGAAGGACUACCAACUACCAACAGAUCUUUCCCAACGGCCACCUACCUCCCCAGCUAGUGUUUUCUGCAGGAGGAAGCUCGGGAAGAAAAUCUCUUAAGAGAUUUAUAAUUUAUGCCUUUGUGAGGGGCAGCGGUGCUUUAAGGCCUUCUAUCAGAGCACCUCUUAUCUCCAUGUUCAUUUCCCAUGUGUGUCUUCCCUUUCCAAGCAACUUAGCCAUUUGAGGUCA